UCUUUUUCUUAAUGGAUAUACAGUAUUGUAUAUAUACAGUAUAUUUAUUUAUUUCCAGAAUGCUUACUCUUCUGACUUGCUUGAGCCGUGAAAGACGUGAGCGAACUCUGCAAGAGGUGGUCGAACUCUGCAAGAUAUGCUGCUUCUUGAUAUUGUUUUUAAGACUUGACGGAUGUUUCUCUCAGGUAGGCUUUUAAAUUUAUAUUUUGGGCAACUUCAUUCCCAUUCUUUGGUCAGGCUGUUCCUGGUAGGGGACUUGGCUGUUCUCACCUCCUAGGAUAGCCUUGGUGGGGGUGGGUGUUAUCCUACUCCAGGAUAGCUCUUGAGGCCCUCUUGGCCUUGGGCAGCCUUAAUGGUUGUACUUGACCCCGGCGGAACACCAAUCGCUGCUAGCCAGGGGGAAGGAAGUACUCUCCUCCCUAGGCUAGCCUUGGUGGGGUUGAGUGUUAACCUACUCCAGGAUAGCCCUUGGGGCCCUCUUGGCCUUGGGCAGCCUUAAUGGUUGUACUUGACCCCGGCGGAACACCAAUCGCUGCUAGCCAGGGGGAAGGAGGUACUCUCCUCCCUAGGCUAGCCUUGGUGGGGUUGAGUGUUAACCUACUCCAGGAUAGCCCUUGGGGCCCUCUUGGCCUUGGGCAGCCUUAAUGGUUGUACUUGACCCCGGCGGAACACCAAUCGCUGCUAGCCAGGGGGAAGGAAGUACUCUCCUCCCUAGGCUAGCCUUGGUGGGGUUGAGUGUUAACCUACUCCAGGAUAGCCCUUGGGGCCCUCUUGGCCUUGGGCAGCCUUAAUGGUUGUACUUAACCCCGGCGGGACUCCAUUCCCUGCUAGCCAGGGAGGAGGGGGGGUCCUCUUCCCCUGGCUAGUCUUCAUUCUGCAGCAAACCUUGUUUGCUCCAUUUCACCACAGCAGGGUACUUCACUGCAAGCUUCGGAGCUUCUUCAACUCUACUAGCCUUGGAAGUUUAUUUUCCUCUUCGACUACCGAUGGAGCACCUCUUCACCUCCAGGUUACUUUUGGGGCUACAAUUACCUCCAAAUUAGUCAUGGCGAUUAUCCUCCCCAGUAGCCAUGAUUGGGAUCCUAUGUCCCUUCUGGUGUCCAUAGAGGCUAGAUUUGUUUCUAGCAGUUUAACCAUUUCAAAAUUAUAUUUUAUGCACUUUAAUUGUUUUAUUAAAAUGCUAAUAAUUGUUAUUUUUCUUUACAGCUUAUUUCCCUUAUAAUUAUUUCCGUAUAACCUAAUCACCUGUAUUUUUAUAAUGGUUUGCAUGUAACCUAUUUAUUUUUUCAAUUGCUUUGUGUAUAACCUAAAUAUUUAUGCACAUGCUUUCCAUGUAGUCUAAUCAUUUAUCAAUAGAUUUCCCCUACAGGUUAAUGUUUUGUAAUGGUUUUCAUUACUAUUACCGAAUUUUGUGAUUCCUUUCCGUAUAGGAUGUUAUAUUUUUUUGUACAGGAUAAUUUUUUAUAGUAUGCUUUUUCCCUAACACCAUAUUAAUUUUUUUCCUGCAGAAUACUAAUUUUUCCCUUCCAGCAUACAAUUUUUUUCUUUACAGAAUUUAAAUGAUUUUCUUUUCACCAUAUUAUUAUAUUUUUUGUACUUUCAGCUACUAAUUUUUUUUCCUUCCACAACUUAAAUGUUUUUCCUUUCAACAUGCUAAAUGUCUUACUUUUCAGCAUAAUUUAUUUUGUUCUAUUGCCUAGCAUUAAUUUUUGCCCGUUAAGCGUAUUAAUUUUUGCAUUAUUACCUUGGCCUAAUUAAUGCUAAAUUGUUCUAAAUUGUUCUAACACCAUAUUAAUUUUUUCCCUGCAGAAUAAAAAUUUCUCCCUUCCAGCAUACCAUUUUUUAUCUUUCAGAAUUUACAGAAUUUAAAUGAUUAUCUUUUCAGCAUAUUAAUUUUUUUUUUACUUUCAGCUACUAAUUUUUUCCUCCCACAACUUUUAAUGUUUUUCCUUUCAUAAUUGUCUGCCUUUCAGCAUAAUUUAUUUUGUUUUAUUGCUUUGUAUUAAUUUUUGCCCGUUAAUCAUAUUAAUUUUUGUAUUAUUACCUGUAGCUUAAUGCAUGUUGAAUUGUUUUUCUGCUCAAUACAGUUUGUUAAUUUAAAAUUAUGUUUAUACUAGUUUUCUUUCAGCUUAAUCAUUUAAAUGUUUAAAUUACAGAUUUAUAAUUUUGUUACUGGAUUGCUUUCUUGUACUCGAAUAAUUUCUAUAUUGAUUUCUUUAUUGUAUCUAUAAUCUAAUGUACAUUGUACAAUCUAAUAAUUGUAUCUAAUAAUUUUAUUAUUAUAUGACCGUCAUAAUUUUUAGAACGUUUCAGUUUAGUCGUGUUUGCAUUAUUUUUCAUUGAAAUGUGUAUCAUUUAUGAGUUAUAUACACAUUUAUUGGUGUGACACAGUGGAUGUUGUAUGUUUCAUUUGGUCACUUAUAUUGAGCAGCAUUUGGUCCGGUCAGUAACUGGAUGAAUGACUACAUAGACAGCCUCGCCCAUGUUGGUAUACCAGUCCAGUAUCCAGAUGGACUCUAGAGGGCUAACUGGUUCAGUUAACAUCAUUAUGGUCUACAAUCUACAUAAUAGUUGCAUUGUCUUCAUUGCUGAAAUUCAAGUCUACUCGCAGCCGUGGAGGACUUCAAGCGAGGACACUACCUGCUUAACAUUUGUCAUUCGAGAAAGAGAAUUCAGCCGGCUGUAAUGUUUUAGUAUGCAGUCUUCAAUGCUGAAAUUUAAGUCUACUCGCAGCCGUGGAGGACUUAAAGCGAGGGCACUACCAGUUUAACCUAUGUCAUUCGAGGAAGAAAAUUCAGCCGACUGCAAUAUUUUAGUGUAAGUAUUGCACAGUAUUUAAUUACAAAUUUGAAAAGUAAAUUAGUAAACGCUAAAGAUGAAUUAUCAGUGAUAUAGUCCCGGAUAUGGUGAAAUUAAUAUUGUAAAACUAGGGUUUGUUAUUAGUUUCUCAAUCUGGCAACCCCAACAAUGUUAAAAGAAGCCCCACAUGCAGCUUGCUCCCUGCAACAUUCAAUGAAAAUAGGAAGAGGCAUUGUGAACCUCUUUGCAAAGUACCUAAUCCCAUGAAAAUGGGAAAUUGGAUAUUAAUUUUCCAUGAUUAAGGAUUUAAUUAUUAAAUAUUUCUUUGGAUAUUAAUUUUCCAUGUUGAAGGAUUUAAUUAUUAAAUAUUUAGUAUUUUAUUCAGAUAUAGUAUAGUGUUGCAAAGAAAACCGCUAAGAUUCUGUGAGGAGGUCAAGAGCCACGUUUUGAUAGCUAAUGAAAGAAACAUAGCUGUUUAAUGAUGGAUUGAUUUUCAGAAUUUACUACAAAACAAAUUAGAAACUUAGAAAAUUUAAGUUUAUUAUACUAAACCAAACCUAAAUAGAGCCAUCUUGACUUAAUUUAAUCAAAUUUAUUAAAGGCUCCCUGUGAUGGCCUAGAUACGAGGAAAUGGGUAAUGGAAUAGAUGUUAGGGACUAGACGAUGGUUUAGACACUAGUGUCUACAAUGAUGGAAAAGAGGCGAGGGAAUGGGUUAUGCAUUACUGGCGAGGGCAUAGGUGAUGGGAUGGGGCCACAGGUAAGGGAUUGGUUGAUGGGGUCUGAUGCGGAUGACUGGGUGAUAGGGACUGGCUGAUGGGGUCUGAUGCGGAUGCCUGGGUGAUAGGGACUGGCUGAUGGGGUCUGAUGCGGAUGCCUGGGUGAUAGGGACUGGCUGAUGGGGUCUGAUGCGGAUGCCUGGGUGAUAGGGACUGGCUGAUGGGGUCUGAGGCGAGGGGCCGAGUUAUAGAUGAAGCGAGUGUGGGUGAUGGGCCAGAGGCUAGGGCCUGGAGGAUAGGCUACAGGCGAGUCUGGAUGAUGGGCUAUAGGCGAGGGUCUGGACUUAUGGUUUACAGGCGAGGGGUCUGGACGAUGGGCUACAGGCGAGGGUCUGGCCAAUGGGCUACAGGCGAGUCUGGACGAUGGGUUAUAGGCGAGUGUCUGGGUAAUGGGCUAUUGGCAAGGGCCUGGACGAUGGGCUACAGGCGAGGGGUCUGGACGAUGGGCUAUAGGCGAGGGGUCUGAACGAUGGGCUAUAGGCGAGGGGUCUGGACGAUGGGCCACAAGAAGGGCCUGGUGAUGGUCCAUAGGCUAGGAUCUGGGGUGAUAGUCCAUAGGCUAAAUGGUGAUGGUCCACAGGCUAAAUGGUGAUGGUCCACAGGCUAAGGUAAAUGGCAAAGUCCUGGAUGAUGUCCUAGAGGCUAGAGUUUGGGUGAUGGGCUACAGGCGAGGGUCUCUGCGAUGGGCUGUAGGCGAGAACUUGGACGAUAGGCCAUAGGCGAGGGCCUGGGCGAUGGGCUUCAUGUGAGGGCCUGCACGAUGGGCUAUGGGUGAGGGGCCUGGAUGAUGGGCUACAGGUGAGGGCCUUGACGAUAUGCUACAGGCGAGGCCUUGACGAUGGGCUAUAGGCGAGGCCUUGGACAAAAGGCUAUAGGCGAGGGUCUGGACAAAGGGCUAUUAGGCGAGGACUUUGUUAAUGGUUCCUCGGGCCUUGUUGAUGAUCCACAGGCUAGGAUCUGGAUGUUGGUCUUCAGGCUAAAUGGUGGUGGGCCACAAGGAUGGGCGAGGGAGAAGAGCAUUCAGGCAAAGGUCCUGAGUGAUGUACCUCGGCCACGGGACCUCGCGGCUGAGUGGACAGCGCUCGGGGGUCGUAGUUCUAAGGGUCCGGGUUCGAUUCCCGGCCGAAGUAGAAAUAUUUGUUGGCCGUAGUCGAGGGUCGAGGAGUCUUGAGUGAUGGGUUAGAUGUGAAUGCCUUUAUUGGUGGUCAUAGGCAAGGAAUCUGGAUGAUGGACUGAGGCAAGGGGGUCUGGAUGAUAGACUGAGGUCUGAGCGAGAGGCGAGUAAGUUUUUGAUGGUUUAGAGGCGAAAACCUUUGUGAUGUGCUAAAUGAAAGGGCCUGGGUGAUGAGCCACAAGCGAUGACAUUGGAUGAUGGACUUUAGGCGAGGGUUUGUGAUGGGCCUUAGGUGAGAGCUACGGUAACGGGCGAGGGUGUAUCGGUGAUGGGCUGCACGCAAUGGUCUCUGUGGUGGGCCACAGGCGAGGUUAUAGGUGAGGGGCUCGUUUAUAGGCAUUCACGUGAGAACGUGAACGAUAGGCAACACGCAAGGGCCUGCGUGAUGGCGUCAAAGGCUAGGGGUCUAGGCGAUAGGCCACAGUUGAGGGCCUUCGUGAUGGAGAAUGAUCAAGGAUCUAGAUGAUGGGCUACAGGCAAGGGCCUGAAUGAUGUCCAAUAGGCUAGUCUGGGUGAUGGGUUAGAUGCGAGGGUCUGGGUGAUGGGCAACAGGCGAGGCCCUGGGUGGGAAUAUGGCCUAGGUUUAUAGGCCACAUGUGAGGGCCUAGAUUAUGGGCCACAUGAUCUCGGCGGGGGGCCUGGGUGAAGGUCUAGGAAAUUGGUCACGGGCGAGGGCCUGGGUGUUAAGUCACUGUGAAAGACCUGUAUGGUAGGCCACGGUAGAGAGUCUAGGUAAUGGGCUGGAGUCGAGUGCGUUAUGAUGGACUAUAAGCGGGGGGCUGGAUGAUCAUCGAGAAGCAAACGACUGGAAGUUGCAUAUUAUCCAUGUCAAUGGCAUGGAUAAUAUGCUUCAUGCGAAGUCCUGGGUGAUGGACUAGAAGUGAGAACCAAGGUAAUAAGACAAGAAGCUAGGGACCUUCGUGAUAGACAACAACCGAGGGACCUGGGUGAUGGACUAGAAUUAAGAACCUAGGAGGUUUUGGGUAAUGGACUAGGAGUGAGGGCUUGCCAAGAAUGUUUCUUGUCCCAAGCGGAUGCUAUUCUUACCAAAUGUCUUCUAACAUAUAUCCAGUGAGGCUCCUCUUAUGAGUCUGCCC